AUUGAACGCUGCGGCAGGCCUAACACAUGCAAGUCGAGCGGAUGAAGGGAGCUUGCUCCUGGAUUCAGCGGCGGACGGGUGAGUAAUGCCUAGGAAUCUGCCUGGUAGUGGGGGAUAACGUCCGGAAACGGGCGCUAAUACCGCAUACGUCCUGAGGGAGAAAGUGGGGGAUCUUCGGACCUCACGCUAUCAGAUGAGCCUAGGUCGGAUUAGCUAGUUGGUGGGGUAAAGGCCUACCAAGGCGACGAUCCGUAACUGGUCUGAGAGGAUGAUCAGUCACACUGGAACUGAGACACGGUCCAGACUCCUACGGGAGGCAGCAGUGGGGAAUAUUGGACAAUGGGCGAAAGCCUGAUCCAGCCAUGCCGCGUAUGUGAAGAAGGUCUUCGGAUUGUAAAGCACUUUAAGUUGGGAGGAAGGGCAGUAAGUUAAUACCUUGCUGUUUUGACGUUACCAACAGAAUAAGCACCGGCUAACUUCGUG
rnacentral:rRNA from 1 species